rnacentral:misc_RNA from 1 species
UGAAGAACGCAGCGAAAUGCGAUAAGUAAUGUGAAUUGCAGAAUUCAGUGAAUCAUCGAAUCUUUGAACGCACAUUGCGCCCGCCAGCAUUCUGGCGGGCAUGCCUGUUCGAGCGUCAUUUCAACCCUCAAGCUCUGCUUGGUGUUGGGGCCCUACGGUUGACGUAGGCCCUUAAAGGUAGUGGCGGACCCUCUCGGAGCCUCCUUUGCGUAGUAACUAACGUCUCGCAUUGGGAUUCGGAGGGACUCUUGCCGUAAAACCCCCAAAUUUUCUAAUGGUUGACCUCGGAUCAGGUAGGAAUACCCGCUGAACUUAAGCAUAUCAAUAAGCGGAGGA